rnacentral:rRNA from 1 species
UACGAAGGUGGCAAGCGUUGUUCGGAUUUACUGGGCGUACAGGGAGCGUAGGCGGUUGGAUAAGCCCUCCGUGAAAUCUCCAGGCUUAACCUGGAAAGUGCAGAGGGGACUGUUCAGCUAGAGGAUGGGAGAGGAGCGCGGAAUUCCCGGUGUAGCGGUGAAAUGCGUAGAGAUCGGGAAGAACAUCAGUGGCGAAGGCAGCUCGCUGGGACGUUACUGACGCUGAGACGCGAAAGCGUGGGGAGCAAACAGGG